GGGGAAUUUUGGACAAUGGGCGCAAGCCUGAUCCAGCCAUGCCGCGUGCAGGAUGAAGGCCUUCGGGUUGUAAACUGCUUUUGUACGGAGCGAAAAGGUGCCUUCUAAUAAAGGGCGCUCAUGACGGUACCGUAAGAAUAAGCACCGGCUAACUACGUGCCAGCAGCCGCGGUAAUACGUAGGGUGCGAGCGUUAAUCGGAAUUACUGGGCGUAAAGCGUGCGCAGGCGGUUUUGUAAGACAGAGGUGAAAUCCCCGGGCCCAACCUGGGAACUGCCUUUGUGACUGCAAGGCUGGAGUGCGGCAGAGGGGGAUGGAAUUCCGCGUGUAGCAGUGAAAUGCGUAGAUAUGCGGAGGAACACCGAUGGCGAAGGCAAUCCCCUGGGCCUGCACUGACGCUCAUGCACGAAAGCGUGGGGAGCAAACA
rnacentral:rRNA from 1 species